UACGUAGGGGGCAAGCGUUGUCCGGAAUCAUUGGGCGUAAAGAGCGCGUAGGCGGCCCGAUAAGUCCGCUGUGAAAGUCAAGGGCUUAACCCUUGAAUGCCGGUGGAAACUGUCGGGCUAGAGUCCGGAAGAGGCGAGUGGAAUUCCUGGUGUAGCGGUGAAAUGCGCAGAUAUCAGGAGGAACACCGAUGGCGAAGGCAGCUCGCUGGGACGUUACUGACACUAAGGCGCGAAAGCGUGGGGAGCGAACAGG
rnacentral:rRNA from 1 species